GCAUUCGAUUAACUGAAUGCAUACCCAUAUAAUGAAAUGGGCUGACAAAAAGAAAGAGCUAAACUAUACAUUGAAUAUUGUGGCUAAAUACGGCUAUAAGAAAAGAGUAAUUGAUGGGAUUCUAAAUAAAGUAGAGGCUAAUAUGGCAGUCAAUGAAAGGAGACAUGCCCCUGGGCAGCCAGAGAUGCAGUCAUUUUCGAAGGUUGUAUAUUACCCCUGUACAGAUAAGGUCCUAAAUAAAGCGUGAGCCAAGGUACUAGAUAGAUGGUAAGGAAGAGAGGGGCCACGGUAUUCAGUAUGCUUUGAAACAAUAAAGUGGAGAGUGUCAGAAGAGCGGAGGUGUAUGAGAUACCCGUAUACAAUGAAAUUCGAGGUAGAAUGCAGUACUACAUUGGUAGCACAAGGAGAGCAUUACAAGUUAGGCUUAAGGAGCACA
rnacentral:lncRNA from 1 species